AGUCUACUCAUAACGUCGACAAUGGAUGCCUGGGAGAUUUUGGCCGAGGAAGGACGCAUAUGGCGGCGAUACUCGUCGGGUAAGUGUCAUAAACUUUUGAUCCGGCGGUUUCCGAAUGGAGCAAUCCCUCCGAUUUUUCAUCGGAGAACCAAGUAUAAAAAUAUAACCGUAAGGUUGUAUAUAGUGUUUGGUGGGGCACGAUGUGAACUGAAACAUCUAAGUAACAUCAGGAAGAUAAAUCAAAACGAGAUUCCCUAAGUAGCGGCGAGCGAAACGGGAACAGCCUAAACGGUCGAUUCGUCGACCGGGUUGUAGGGCAGGCGAUAUUUGAUGAGUUGAUCGUAGCAGAAUGAUCCGGAAUGGUCAUCCAAAGAGAGUGAAAGGCUCGUAAGCGAAACGAAAAACUCCAAUAGUCUGUACCUAAGUACCAUGGGGCACGAUGAAACCCUGUGGGAAUCUGGGACGUCCACGUUCCAAGGCUAAAUACCAAAAUCUACCGAUAGUGAACUAGUACCGUGAGGGAAAGGUGAAAAGCACCCCGGGAGGGGAAUGAAAUAGACCUGAAAUUGUCGACUAACAAGCAGAGAGAGCUUGUCGUAAGACAGGUGAUCUCGUGCCUAUUGAAGAAUGAACCGGUGAGUUAUCCUUAUGUGCGUUAGCUUAAUUCUGCAUAGCAGAAGUAGGCGUAGUGAAAGCGAUCCCUAAUUGGGAUAUUUUAGUACAUUUGGAUAGACCCGAAACCGGGUGAUCUAACCUUGAGCAGGGUGAACCCCGAUGAAAAUCGGGGGGAGGUCCGAACCCGUGGAUGUAGCAAUAUCUUGGGAUGACUUGAGGUUAGGGGCAAUAUGCCAAUCGAACCCGGAGAUAGCUGGUUCUCCCCGAAAUAUAUUUAGGUAUAGCGGUCGUCUCCACUUUCUAGGGGUAGAGCACUGAAUUGCUACUGGCGGCGCAAGCCGUUGGAGCAAAUCAAACUCCGAAUACUAGGAAGUUACGGCGAACUAGUCAGACUGGUCGGGCUAAGCUGAUCAGUCGAGAGGGAAACAACCCAGAUUCUCAUCUAAGGUCUCUAAAUAAAAGCUAAGUUGCGAAGGAAGUCAAAGACCAUAGACAACCAGGAGGUUGGCUUAGAAGCAGCCAUCCUUUAAAGAAAGCGUAACAGCUCACUGGAGGAUGGUAGUUGGCGCCGAAAAUGUAUCGAGGAUUAAGCUUUUUACCGAAGAUGGAAACCCGCCUUUGGCGGGUGGUAGGGGAGCGUUCUGCGUGCAGUGAAGCUGAAUCGUGAGAUUUGGUGGAAGGACGCAGAAGUGAGAAUGCCGGUAUGAGUAGCGAGAGUCCCGUGAGAAACGGGACCGCCGAAAACCCAAGGUUUCCUGUGCAAUGUAAGUCAGCACAGGGUUAGUCGGUCCUAAGGGUGUUUCCUGUUUUUGGGAUGUAACCCGAUGGACAAGUCGUUGAAAUUCGACUACAGGAUAUGCGUAUUCCAAGGGGAUGACGAAGGUGGAAGAGUCAAGUCUGCCGCAAGGCAGGUUCAAGCAGCAAGAUAGGGUAAGCUGGAAAAUCCGUUUAUCUGAUUAAUCGAGCUGUGAUGGAGAGUUUUCCGAUUCAUCGGAGGACAAUUUGGUAGCUUUCAGCUUCCAAGAAAAUUCUCAUUGGGUCCGCCCGCAAGGGUGAGACAAAUGCAUAUUUUACCGUACCGCAAACCGACACAGGUGGGUUGGUCGAGAAGACUAAGGCGAUCGAGAGAAAGGUGAUCAAGGAACUCGGCACAAAAGCUGGGCGUAACCUUUGGGAGAUGCCCUGCCAGGUACUAUACGGUACCUGGUUGCAACAAAAGAGUGCUUAGCGACUGUUUAUCUAAAACACAGGUCCCUGCAAAACCGAAAGGUAAAGUAUAGGGGCUGACGCCUGCCCAAUGCUGGUAAGUCAAUGAUGGUGAGUGAUGUCGCCGUAAGGCGACUGAGCUUGUUAUCAAAGCUCCAGUGAAUGGCAGCAGUAACUAUAACUGUUCUAAGGUAGCGAAGUCCCUUGUCGGGCAAGUUCCGACCCGCACGAAUGGCAGAACGACUGAGCAACUGUCUUGAUCAUCUACUCGGCGAAAUUGAAAUGGCUGUGAAGAUGCGGCCUAGUUGUCCUUGGACAAAAAGACCCCAGGAGCUUUACUGUAUCUUGGCAUUUGAGAGUUUAUUUUCCAUGUUUAGCGUAGGUGGGAGCCCCGAUUUAAUCGGGGCGACGAUGAAACACCACUCUUGAAAGUGAGCAAUCAUUACCCCUAUGCCGCAAAAAAAUCCGGCAGGGGAACAGUGCCUGGUGGGCAGUUUAACUGGGACGGUUGACUCCUAUAGUGUAACGGAGUUGUACAAAGGUUGGCUACUCGCCGAUGGAAAUGGCGAGGAUAGUGCAAAGGCAUAAGCCAGCUUGAUAGUGAGGCCUACAAGCCGAACUAGUGCGAAAGCAGGUCUUAGUGAUCCUCCGAUUGCGUAGUGGUACGCACGGAGCUUAACGGAUAAAAGCUACCCUGGGGAUAACAGGCUGAUCGCUCCCAAGCGUCCAUAGCGACGGGGCGGUUUGGCACCUUGAAUAACAUCGGGGCGCCUGCAGAGUAAUCUGCAAGUCUGGUUAUUCCAAACACAUUUAGAGAGUGUGUUGGUUUUAGUAAAUUGACUAGUCAAAAUCGGUGAACACCAAUAUCCCGAACACAUAUUGGUCAAUACCGAGGUGAUGCAAAAAGAAUGGUCCUAGCGAUCCUUUUCUGCAGAACCGUAUCGACUUCUAUAUUUAGUUAAUAUAAAUAUAGAGAGGAAAAUUUUUGUUCAUAUAAAAAAUAUAAUUUUCCUAAAAAGCUAGCCCCCGAUAUACAUCGGGGUGAAGGUAUAGUCAGAGCGCUUGGCAACAAGAGCGCGAUGUCGGCUCAUCCUAUCCUGGGGGUGGAGAAGCUCCCAAGGGUCGGGCUGUUCGCCCGUUAAAAGGGUACGCGAGCUGGGUUCAGAACGUCGUAAGACAGUUCGGUCUCUAUCCAGGACAACCAUUGAGAUUUGAGGAGAUCCGAUCCUAGUACGAGAGGACUGGAUUGGGGGAAUCCCUGGUGUGCCAGUUGUGGUCGAAACUUCGACCGCAUUGCUGGGUAGCUAUAUUCCCAACGGAUAACCGCUGAAAGCAUCUAAGUGGGAAGCCGUCUCCAAGAUUAGAUCUCGUUCCGAUGCAAAUCGGGAUAGACCCCAGGUAGACUACCUGGUUGAUAGGCGGGCGGUGGAAGCACUGUGAGGUGUUAAGCUUACCCGUACUAAUGGUCAAAAAGGUAGAUUAU
rfam:Candidatus Levybacteria bacterium RIFCSPHIGHO2_01_FTLL_38_26 rifcsphigho2_01_scaffold_14143, whole genome shotgun sequence.